GUCUUUAAGUGGAGCCGUCUGUAAGUCGAGGGUUCACUGUAUAGACAAUGUGUUGUGUGGGAGUAAGAGUGGAUUUUUCUUUGUUGCUUUUGAGGCUUGAUGGGUUGGAUUCAUUUUAGCGUAACCAUACGAAAACGUCUCUGAAUGAUAUAGCAGUUGAGGUCCUGAAGAUCGAAGAUAGGUCAUAGACCGCUGUCUCAUUUUGGGACAGUGAAAUGGUGGGAGAAGACCCCUGGAUCGUCUUCUGAAGGAUUGACCGGUGAUAUGGUGUCCUUUAAGAGAAGAUAUCGCGGAGGUGGGAAGAUGAAUUCUAUGGCAUAACCUGUAGCGAUGAUGGUGAGGACCCAGGAGCCGGUGGUGAUAGACGCCUAAGAUGGAAGAUGGCCCAAAAGACAAGUGACGGUGGGUGAAGAAGGGUAAGCUGAGCAGAUCUGGGGGAUGAAGAAGUCAGAGAUUCUGUUUUUGUUUCUUAUCAGGGUGACAGAAAGACUGUUUGGGGCGGUGACGUUGCACUGCGUGUCUAGGUUGAAAGGAAGGAGCAGGAUGUGGAGGAUACCUAUUCUUGUCAGUGAAUGAUCUGAAUUGUUGUUUUUGCAGGUUGCCCAGUAUGUCAUCGGUCUUUUUGUCGAAUAGUCCGGUACCAUCGAACGCAGGAGAGUUAAUUUGACCCUACCAAAUCCACAGACUUAUUAAGAGGAACCAAAAUGGAUGACAAAAAUGAGAAGACAAAUGAGAAAACAAAUUAAUCAAGGACAAGAAAACUGUAUAAAUGAGACUUUUUGACUGAAAAGAUGGAGUUUCUGUAUGAGCAAGUAAGCCCUUGUGAAAGAUGGAGACAAGAUAAGCAAUGCCUUGUUCAGCAGCUCAGCAACUUCAGAAAUUUAACAAGACAGAAGACAAUGGCAUCCAUUUAUGAGACUAUGCUGAAACACGGUGUACUUGCAAAAAAUAAAA